AUGUAUAGCGAUGCAAAUAUGUGCAUUCACAGUUAAAAGUUUUUGAAAUGGCUGCCGCUUAGUGGCAAUGGGGGGAAGGGUGACAUCCGCUAUUGCUUGCAAUGGCAAUUCUAGUUAUGUCACCCGAUCGACAAUGUCGGGUGACAUAUUGUUUUUCCUCUGUUAUUUUGUUUUUAUUAUGUCACCCGAUCGACAAUGUCGUCAGACAUAUUGCUUUUCCUCUGUUUCUUUUUCUGUAUUAUUACGGCACCCUCAACGGAGUUCGGAUGACAUAUUGUUAUUAUGGCACCCUCAACGGAGUUGGGGUGACGUAUUGUUAUUCUACGUUUCUUUUUUUUCCUUAUUAUUAUGGUACCCUCAACGGAGUUGGGUCGACGUAUUGUUAUUCUACGUUUCUUUUUAUGUCACCCCUUUGAAAAAGGGGGGAUAUAUUGUUAUUCUACGAAUUUUUUCUUCCACACUUUUUGUCCAGCCGAUUUCUCGGAGAUGCCUUGACAUAUAUUUAUAAAACUGCACAAUUAUGACAAUCCCCAUGUGCAAAGUUGUAGGAAGCAUGGAAUGGUUCAAGAUGGCCGCCGUUACCAUGGAAACGGCAAAAAUGUAAAAAACCGAAAAAUGGUCCAAAUUAAAUGAAACUUUCAGAACUAAUAACUCAUCGUUAGAAGGCGUGACAUCCAUCUUAAGAACUUUUAAAAUGGCUACCGUUGUCAUGGAAACGGUCCAAACGUGAAAAAAACGAAAAUAAAUCCUUAAUUAAUUCAUAGAAAAUAAACCGCUACAGAUACGGCAAAAAAAACCGUAACUAGAAACACUAGUAUAAACUGUAGAAUUCAUUGCCGUUGGAAUUUUAAAGAUAGCUGCUGUUACCAUGGAGAUAACGCUAAAAGUGCACAUUGGACCCAUAUGGUAAAAAACGUCAAAGUAACAUUUUCGUACAAAUUUUAAGCUCAUUCCCGUUUAAAUGCUAUUGUAUUGUCAUCUGUCUUCGAAAUUUUCAAAAUGGCCGCCGUUGCCAUGGAAACAGCCUUAAAAAAAAAAAAAAAAAAAAACCUCGCGAAAAUCUAGGACAAAAUUCUGUGAGUAAGACUAUGGCGAAAAACAUCUUCUAGAAUAUGCUAGAAGAAAACGAAUAUAUAAUUUAACGUGCUUCUUUCUAUUCUAUACAAAAAUCGUGCUCUGAAGAGAAAAUCGCCACUGAGAGAGAGAGAAACAUGAAGAGUACACAUAAUUGACAUUUCUGCACUUGCAUUAAAGUACACAUCCGUUAAUCGAACACCUGCAAAAAUAUACACAUUAGCUGAAAUCAAUCGAUAAGCGUGUAAUUAAAUUGUACAAGAUAAAAUACUUGUAUCGUGUGAUACGCGAGAUAUUGAAGAAUAAAAUGAACAGUUAGUAUGCCGCUCCGUCAAUAUAUACACAUGUUGUCUGUCCAAGGUCCCCUCUAAAAAGAAUAGUAAUGUACUAACU
rnacentral:lncRNA from 1 species